UCAUUCAGACUGAGCAUUAACCACAGCCCUUGCGAAUGAUUUAUUCUGUUUGAGACUUGGGGCACCCUAGCUGCUUCCCCUCUGCAGGAGAGGCUGUAUAGUUCUUCCUGCCCUGCAGUUGUGAACACAAUGUGAAUGCAUUGUCUCCCCUACAACAAAACCAGUCUGCCCCAGCUCGGGUGUCACACCCAUUUGGUGCAUGAAUGGGGAGAGGUCUUUUGGAGCUGGAAGAAGAAUUUGAAGUUCUCAGACUGACAAAAUGCAGCAGGACCCUUUUCCUCGUCAUGGACCGCAACCACAUGGAAACGCCACUUACAGUUGGACUCAGCACAACGUCUCAAUCCUUUGGAGUUCGGCCAGGCAUGGCUGCCCUUCUGUUCUGUUUCCUGCUGAUCUUCAUGCAACAGCUGCUUUACUCUCAGCCGUCUUCAAAAACCCCAGCCCCGCCAAGGUAGGUAUGCCAUGAAAAGGAACGUGGCCCGGCCCAAAGUUGAGACUAUCUCAAGCCACAAGGUCCCACACUGUUGGGUAGGCACAGAUCAUUGUUUUGUUGACCAAGAGAACUGAAAACUGUAAGCCCCCUGCAGGGCCCACAGGAGUCUGCUGAGGCAUACGGAGAGGGAAACACAGGUGCAGGAAAGAUCCCUGGACUGGGAAGCCGGCAAGGCCUGAGUCUAAGUCCUGACGCAGCCCUUGAGGAGCUGUGCAACCUUAGGGCAAGUGGACAACUUCUCUGAGCUUCAGUUCUCUAGUCACAUAAAAGGGAGGCGAGAAGCCCUAACAUCACACCCUAUUUAGAAUUCACUUCUGCAGGACGUUCCCAUUGUGGUUCAGCGGUAACAAAACCAACUAGUAUCUAUGAGGAUGUAGGUUCGAUCCCUAGCCUCCCUCAGUGGGUUAAGGAUCUGCGUUGCUAUGAGCUGUGGUGUAGGUCACACAUGCAGCUCAGAUCCUGUGUUGCUCUAGCUGUGGUGCAGGCUGGUGGCUGCAGCUCCAAUUCAACCCCUGGCCUGGGAACUUCCAUAUGCUGUGGGUGCGGCCCUAAAAAGCAAAAAGAAAAAAAGAGUUCACUCCUCUAAAGAGACAAGCCCCAAGCAACUGACACACAUUUUGCAAAGGAUAUAGAGAAAGUGCAACUAUCAAUCAAACGAGGCUCUUGUUCCCCCAAAUCGAUCCAGAGAGCUCAGUAAGAGAGGAAUUGUCUGGGGCUGCAGAAAUUCUGAUUCACAUCUGAGACAGGGUCCUGAGCCUGCAUUUUUUUUUUUUUAUUAAAGUUCUUCCAGAUGAUUCUGUUGCCUGGAUUAAUUUAAGCAUCAUUUCCUCCUGAUGACGCAGCAAAAUGGAGAGCCUCGUGCUCCAGAGCACAAAGUCUGCAGAAAAUGUUGGAGUGUAUUAACAUCAACCUCAGUAUUUGCUUUUUCGUGAUACUUCAUCACCUUCUCUUACCCCUUUUAAUAUGGUCACAUCAUUCACGUGGGUUUAAGGCCCAGUUUCUGGGCAGGACAGCCACGAGGCCUCACCCUGUCAUCACAGAGUUCGUGAAGUCAUCUGGUUGUGGCUGGGACGCAGCCUCCAGCGGUCCCUAAGCAAAGAAUAAACAUAUGCUUUUAUUUUCUUAAUGCUGUUGG
rnacentral:lncRNA from 1 species